CUUCUUUGCUGACGAGUGGCGGACGGGUGAGUAAUGUCUGGGAAACUGCCUGAUGGAGGGGGAUAACUACUGGAAACGGUAGCUAAUACCGCAUAACGUCGCAAGACCAAAGAGGGGGACCUUCGGGCCUCUUGCCAUCGGAUGUGCCCAGAUGGGAUUAGCUAGUAGGUGGGGUAACGGCUCACCUAGGCGACGAUCCCUAGCUGGUCUGAGAGGAUGACCAGCCACACUGGAACUGAGACACGGUCCAGACUCCUACGGGAGGCAGCAGUGGGGAAUAUUGCACAAUGGGCGCAAGCCUGAUGCAGCCAUGCCGCGUGUAUGAAGAAGGCCUUCGGGUUGUAAAGUACUUUCAGCGGGGAGGAAGGGAGUAAAGUUAAUACCUUUGCUCAUUGACGUUACCCGCAGAAGAAGCACCGGCUAACUCCGUGCCAGCAGCCGCGGUAAUACGGAGGGUGCAAGCGUUAAUCGGAAUUACUGGGCGUAAAGCGCACGCAGGCGGUUUGUUAAGUCAGAUGUGAAAUCCCCGGG
rnacentral:rRNA from 1 species